CGACUUCUUCCCCACGGAUUCACAGCAUAAUUCCUCCUGCUCCGCCCCGGCUCCGGCCCCGCCCCCCUACUCCUCUACCAGCCUACCCCUACCCACCAACGCAGAGGUAUAAGGGAGAUUAAAUAGUGCUCAUCUUUUCCCGUCUUCAACGCGUUUCGCCGUUUUCAGAGGUUUCAACUGGGAAGACUGAGCAAGUGUUUGGAAAAAAAGAUACAUUGUUUUCAUUUUCAUUAUACAGACAAAGAAAGGGAAAGGAGGGGGUGGGAAGACAUGAAUUGCCUCACUGCGUGGUGCUUGGGGGAAUGGCCGGCUGCAUUGUGGUCCACGCAAGUAUGAAAUGAUUUUUGAGAAAUGUUACAGUUUCCCCAGUUACCAUCCCGGAAAACCCAAAUAUUUUGAAGCUAAAUUUAAGCAAUAGAAAAUUUGCAAAGCAAAUGUGUAUUUAUUUUUAUCCAGAAUCAAAUUAUGUAUUUAAACCAUCAAUGCUGUUAAUGAUCUCUCCCUUAUUGAUGGGACUGGGUUUGUGUUUAUUUUUUUCUCUGCUGUGAGAAAUUUUCUUCCACUUGCAUUGAUGAUGAGGAUAUUUCUUAUUUUAACAAGCUUCAGAGUUAUUGGCCAUUAAAACAAACAAAAGACAGAUCAAUGAAGUGUUCAAUUCCUAUAGCCUUUUCUGUUUUCCCGACCACCACCCCUGACCACCACACCUA
rnacentral:lncRNA from 1 species